AUAAAAGCAAAUAAAUAAGCAAAGUAAAAUAAAACACGAUGAACUUCAACAUAUUCAAAGAAAGCUUCAAGCAUGCAUAUAUUUAUGAACUCAUGUCCAUCUAGCUCAAAACAAGAAGCACAAUAGGGAAGCACACCAGAAAACAGUUUUCUGACUUCUCAAUGAAAAGAACAGAAUGGUCACAACCAUGUUCGCAAACAGUUGGUUUUGUGAAGCUUCAAAACAUGUUCCUUUGGAGGAGGCAUUUUGAAAAUGAAUUUUAAAAUUCUAGUCCACGUGGUGCUCCUUUACAGGAAAAUACAUAGCUUGCAAAAGCAAGGCGUAUGUAUUUCUUAGCCAUUUACCACCUCGGAUGUUGAGAACCUGUUUUCAAUGAAGGACACCAUUUCCUCUGGCAUACUCAAUAUAAAAUGCUCUUCUACAAAAUUAAUCUGAAGAUGUCUUGUGCAUUGUCGUUUGGACCACCGUUUCCUUCUCCAUUCCCCCACUUUUACGCUACGUGUACAAACAUUGCUCAGAGGGUAGAUGGCAUGAAAUAUCUGUAAACAACCAUGUGCUCCGUAUCAUUUUACUCUGAAAUAACUCUGCGAUUUCAGCUGAACCUGCCUACGCUUAUAAUGCACCGCAUACCCCACGAGGGAGCCUGAGAACAGACUCCCUUGAAAAGCAAGGUUCUCAUAGUUGGCCUGUAACCAUGGAAGCAGAUGCUGUUUUCUUCUUACCCUGCUUACCUCUUUGCAGCCUCGAGCUGCUCCCUAUUGUUAAAAGGGGGUACGCCUCGAUUCUUCUUCAUCAUGACCGAACUUGCCUCUUCUUCAAAGGGCAUGGUGCUGCAGGUCAUUGGUCUAGACUGUUUGCACGGUCCAGAGAGCAGCCUUGAUGUAACCCUGGCUCCGUCUGAGCCACACCACCAGCCGUGCCUCUGCAGACUGGAGGGGGACAUUGGAGAUCCGUAUUUGAAAAGAAGUCUGUCUGAUUUUGCCAUUGUGCCUUUUUACUCAUCGAUCGAAUGAAUAUCGAACCUUCUGUCGUUGCAUGUGUGAAAAUAGAUAGCUUAGCCAGCACUUUUGUGUCCAACCUGUGCUGUGGGCCAAAAGGUUUUUCAUUUGAGUCUCAAGAAUUUUUUUUUCCUUUCUUCAGACUUGAUGAAUUUUGUGCUCGCUUAAAUUAUUUGUAAGCCUUUAUCCAGCUGUUUUGGCGACUGCUUGCGAUACUUUACCAGCAGGGAUUUUGUUUUGGUGUCAAAACGGAACUUUUUUUUUUCCGUCAUCUGUUUGUUUUCUUUUGUAGCUGUCUUAAGGUCUUUUUGUAGCUUUGUAGGUAGAGGCGGUCUAACUUUUACUACACCCUAUAAAGCCGCACAUCUGAGUUACCCUUUUAAGGGGGCGAUUUGACGCUGUCUAUUACUUAACAGGCUCAAAUCCAGAAAGGUGGACUUGAGCCUCUCAAGGUGAUUUCAGUGAUUUAUAAGAGUAAGUAAACCGGAUAAUCACAUUGAUUUUUAAGUUGAACAGUAUUGUUUGAUAAACUGUAUUUGAAAGGAAUUUGUUUUCUUUGUUUUUUCCCCCUUUGAAAAUCAGUGAAAGUAUUAUUUGGAAGCACUGAAAUGUACUUAAAAGCAUAUAACUUCAUUGUGCUUAGGAGAGGCACAUAAAAUCACUAUGAUUUAGCAUACCGAAUAAAUAUAUUUAUAAUGUCUGUCUCAUGGCAUGAUUUAACUAGAAAGCACAAAAUAUGAAAAAAGUCUUUGCAUUUCAUUUUUUAACAUGACGGAAAUUUAUUACUGUUCAUCAACUGCUGAUGUUAAUGGCUGAUGAGACUAUGCAACCUGCUCAUUCUCAAAGGCGCUGUUUCACUGUGUCUUUAUGAAACUCCACAAGUUCAGGAUGUCUCUGAUGCAUCUCUCCAGCAUGGUGAUUAGGAAGCAUUGUCUGCAUGUGUCAUCAGGAGCAGUUUGGUUUGAUUUGAAGAAACCAGUAGUUCAUACUUAAAGGCAUACCUAUUUUCUCUAAUUGCCACAGGCAAACGGGAGGUCCACGGCAGGAUAAAGAAGGUUAUUGUGACGGCUGAAAUAUAAUUCUCAAUGAGUAGUCUUUUCAUCUAGCCUUAAGGAGCACAGGAUUACUUACAAGCUGAAUUUUGUGGCAGAAUGUAGGAGCUGAUUUAAAAAACAACAACUAUAAAACAAAAACAAAAACAAAACUCAAGAAACCAGGAAAAAAAGAAGGAGGUUUAUCUCUCUUUGGCUCUGGAGUGUUUAUUUUGUGUGUCUGUCUGGGGAUCGUAUUUUGUUUCUCCUAACAUAGAAGAGACACUGGCCAGGAGAGGGUCUGAGGAAACAGAAGGAAUAGGCAGGGAGGGUAGAAAGGAAGAAACAGUAACAGUGAAGAAAAUGAGUUAGAUGGAUUUCUAUAUUCUUUGGCACGCACAUGCAACUCAUAUUUUUUCAACACACGUUUUUGCUGCAAAAGAAUGGAAGCACCAGCUGCAAUGCCAAAGCUACAAUGUAACUUUGAGAAGACAGAGUGGCAGUGCCUUCUCAAGUCUCCCCAGGGAUAACUCACUUCUCUCAAGGAUCAGCACACAAUCACAAUGAUCUCACCUGAUCUACUUGACACAGGAAGCAGAGAGCUCAUACAAGACACAAGGUAAGUUGUAACACCCAAGGCCAGCCCUGAUAAUGAUCCUCUUCCUCUCCCUAUACUCUCUCCCUUAGGUUUCCUAGCAUCCCAAAAAAGGACCACAGCUAAAAAAGAAAAAAAUGUCAGAGCACAUGAGCUUACAGAGAACAUUUCAUAUUUAAAUACUGGUAGCUCAUUUAGUUCCCAAAGCCACCACCGUGACCAGAAAGCCCACGUGAAGAACAUGAACCCUGCUGCCAGACAAGCUGUUAUGAUAUGAAGAAACUUGUCAAGAAAACAAAACAAAACAAAAGUUACAAGUAUUAGAGAGUAGCUGUGGGGACAAAUGAUUAUUAAUGAGUAUAAAAUAAUCUUCCUUAAGAAGCAAUUUUAUAAAUGCAUUCUCAUGCCUAAAUACCAUCCUCCAAUGAAAUGUUUCAACUAAGAAAUCCCAGCAGCUCUCCCUAUGCUUCCAAUAUUUCUUGAGACUGCAGCAGAGACUGGUUCUGACGUAGCUGUGGUGACACUUCUGUCCAAACCCGAGAGUGUUGCAAUAAAUGCUAUAACACAGGGCAGCUGUGCUGUGCUUGUGUCCAAGGUUCCUGAGACUUCCAAUGCAUUAUUGAUAACCCCACCACUCUGAGAAAGCUGAGGCUGACAUCGUUUUUGCUGCUCUCAACCUUCUUCUGAAGAGUGCUGGCUGGGCCGGGAAUCGAUCACAGGAAGACGUUUACCAAAGAACAAAAUGGCUCAAGUAAAAAGCAGCAUUAAGAAUCCCCUACAUUCACUGACUGUGUUAACCAAAAUCACAUGCCCUACUUUGGUGUUUAUAUAUCUUUGACAGUUUACAUUGUGGUCAUGCUCCAGGCUACAGGGUGUAAUAAUUCAAUAAACACUUUACAUCUUGAGCUGGUUAUAAGUUAUAUGUGGGAAAAAUGUUUGCAUUCUAAAAGAAAAAUAAACUUACGGAUGUAGUUUUUCAAAAUACAUUAUUUUUCCUCAUUCUGGUACAUUUUCUCUGUAUUACUGUGAAAUUAAAGUGUAUCUAGGUAAUUUUCCUGUUUUCAUAUAGUGCUUUACAUUAACAUGCAGUCAUUCAUGGAAUAAUGUAUACCUACAGGGAUAAUAUGCAUUAUUUUAUAUUUCAUGUUAACUAACAGUAUAAACCACUGUGAAUGUUAAUAUCUGACUUCACUUAUGAAUCUUGAAAUUGAUGUCUUCAAUAUGAAAAUUAUAUAUUUCAUAUCCUACCACAAAUAGUUUACAGUGUGGUUUCUAAGGUAAAGUCUGUUGUAGAGCAUGAAUAUAUUCUGUGCUUAGAAUUGGGGUUAAAAAUCUUACUCUUCGUUUGCUAGGAAAACUAAGAGAAGAUUGUUUUCUUAGAUGAGAGAUGGCUAGGUAACUUGCAACACAAUCAUUAGUCCAUGUUACUUCUGUAUUCUAGUGCAAAUAAGCUUACAAUUCAAUUAUUAUUCAUCAAUAAAAAUAGUUAAUAACACAACUCAAAGGAUUAAAUACAGAAUUUAGUCUCAUCUGCAGGCACUGGCCACCUAAAGCAGAUGUUAGUGGUUGCUCAACCAACUGAGACAUGCAUUAAUAAAUGUGUUUUAUCUGCCUUUGACUUGCUGGGACCUGAAUUGGAUGUCACAUAAACUUGCUCAAAUUUUAAACUGAUAUUGUCAAAGAAGUAAAGCCCUAUGUAAUAUGUUUUAAAAUGUAGGUUUCUUUUUUUUUUUU